rnacentral:rRNA from 1 species
GAUGAACGCUGGCGGCAGGCCUAACACAUGCAAGUCGAGCGAGCGGCGGACGGGUGAGUAAUGUCUGGGAAACUGCCUGAUGGAGGGGGAUAACUACUGGAAACGGUCGCUAAUACCGCAUACCAUCAGAUGUGCCCAGAUGGGAUUGGCUAGUAGGUGGGGUAACGGCUCACCUAGGCGACGAUCCCUAGCUGGUCUGAGAGGAUGCCCAGCCACACUGGAACUGGGACACGGGCCAGACUCCUACGGGAGGCAGCAGGGGGGAAGAUUGCAACAUGGGCGCAAGCCUGAUGCAGCCAUGCCGCGUGUAUGAAGAAGGCCUUCGGGUUGUAAAGUACUUUCAGCGGGGAGGCGUUACCCGCAGAAGAAGCACCGGCUAACUACGUGCCAGCAGCCGCGGUAAUUC